UGUAUUCACUACUGUAAGUCGCUCUGGAUAAGAGUGUCUGCUAAAUGACCAAAA
rfam:Salmo salar isolate Sally breed double haploid chromosome ssa10, whole genome shotgun sequence.